rnacentral:rRNA from 1 species
UAUACAUGCAGUCGAACGAACUUCCGUUAAUUGAUUAUGACGUACUUGUACUGAUUGAGAUUUUAACACGAAGUGAGUGGCGAACGGGUGAGUAACACGUGGGUAACCUGCCCAGAAGUAGGGGAUAACACCUGGAAACAGAUGCUAAUACCGUAUAACAGAGAAAACCGCAUGGUUUUCUUUUAAAAGAUGGCUCUGCUAUCACUUCUGGAUGGACCCGCGGCGUAUUAGCUAGUUGGUGAGGUAAAGGCUCACCAAGGCAGUGAUACGUAGCCGACCUGAGAGGGUAAUCGGCCACAUUGGGACUGAGACACGGCCCAGACUCCUACGGGAGGCAGCAGUAGGGAAUCUUCCACAAUGGACGCAAGUCUGAUGGAGCAACGCCGCGUGAGUGAAGAAGGGUUUCGGCUCGUAAAGCUCUGUUGUUAAAGAAGAACGUGGGUAAGAGUAACUGUUUACCCAGUGACGGUAUUUAACCAGAAAGCCACGGCUAACUACGUGCCAGCAGCCGCGGUAAUACGUAGGUGGCAAGCGUUAUCCGGAUUUAUUGGGCGUAAAGCGAGCGCAGGCGGUCUUUUAAGUCUAAUGUGAAAGCCUUCGGCUCAACCGAAGAAGUGCAUUGGAAACUGGGAGACUUGAGUGCAGAAGAGGACAGUGGAACUCCAUGUGUAGCGGUGAAAUGCGUAGAUAUAUGGAAGAACACCAGUGGCGAAGGCGGCUGUCUGGUCUGCAACUGACGCUGAGGCUCGAAAGCAUGGGUAGCGAACAGGAUUAGAUACCCUGGUAGUCCAUGCCGUAAACGAUGAUUACUAAGUGUUGGAGGGUUUCCGCCCUUCAGUGCUGCAGCUAACGCAUUAAGUAAUCCGCCUGGGGAGUACGACCGCAAGGUUGAAACUCAAAAGAA